GGGUAGUAGAACAAUGGGAUUAUGCUGUCACAAAAACCAAAGAAAAAACAUAAUUUCUUAAAUCAUGGUCUGUCACUGAAUCUGGUUAUAAAACCUUAUCUUGCACUAGAAGGAUCUGUAGCUUUUCCAGCUGAGAAUGGGGUUCAGGAUACCGAAUCAACACAAGAAAAGAGAGAAACUGGGGAUGAAGAAAACUCAGCUAAAUUUCCUGUAGGAAGGAGAGAUUUUGACAUAUUCUCAGACCACUUCUACCAAAACAUAAAUCUGUGAUUGUGAUCUCUGAAAGUCAGUCCUUUUAUCUACUCAAUAACUGAUCUGAUAAUGUCAACUUUUGAAAACAGAUAGUUAUGACUCAAGGCUUUGAGAAUGUAAAGAGACCACCUUCACUUGUUGAGAAAUGGUACGAUUUCACGUUAUCAGUGCAGUUCCGUUCUCGGGGGAAAGCCCAUCCGUACUACCAGGAGACUGGAUCCGCAAAGUAGACACUUGGUCUCAUGAAGCCACUGCUGGGCUCCAGAGAGAAGGGAAAACUAAGAGGUUUUAAAACCCCUACCCUCCUUGGUUUACCUCCAUCAUUAAAAAACAACAAUGACAACGACAACAAAAAACAAAACUAAAACGACUUAUUAUUUAUUAAUUAUGUUGUGGCAGACAAUAUGCUGAACAUUAGACAUAAUUAAAUCUUUUUAAAAAUUGA
rnacentral:lncRNA from 10 species